rnacentral:rRNA from 1 species
CCUACGGGAGGCAGCAGUGGGGAAUAUUGCACAAUGGGGGAAACCCUGAUGCAGCAACGCCGCGUGAGUGAAGAAGUAUUUCGGUAUGUAAAGCUCUAUCAGCAGGGAAGAAGAUGACGGUACCUGACUACGAAGCCCCGGCUAACUACGUGCCAGCCGCCGCUGUAAUACGUAGGGUGCACGCGUUAUCCGGAUAUACUGGGUGUAAAGGGAGCGGAGGCGGCAGUGCAAGUCUGGAGUGAAAGCCCGGUGCCCAACCCCGGAACGGCUCGGGAAACUGUGCGGCUAGAGUACUGGAGGGGAAGGCGGAAUUCCUGGUGUAGCGGUGAAAUGCGUAGAUAUUAGGAGGAACACCAGUGGCGAAGGCGGCCUGCUGGACAGUAACUGACGUUGAGGCUCGAAAGCGUGGGGAGCAAACAGGAUUAGAUACCCUGGUAGUC